CAGUACACUACAUUGAGACUACAGGACC
rnacentral:piRNA from 1 species